rnacentral:rRNA from 1 species
AUCUGCGAUAAGCGCCGGUAAGGUGAUAUGAACCGUUAUAACCGGCGAUACCCGAAUGGGGAAACCCAGUGUGAUUCGUCACACUAUCAUUAACUGAAUCCAUAGGUUAAUGAGGCGAACCGGGGGAACUGAAACAUCUAAGUACCCCGAGGAAAAGAAAUCAACCGAGAUUCCCCCAGUAGCGGCGAGCGAACGGGGAGGAGCCCAGAGCCUGAAUCAGCAUGUGUGUUAGUGGAAGCGUCUGGAAAGGCGCGCGAUACAGGGUGACAGCCCCGUACACAAAAGCGCAUGUGCUGUGAGCUCGAUGAGUAGGGCGGGACACGUGGUAUCCUGUCUGAAUAUGGGGGGACCAUCCUCCAAGGCUAAAUACUCCUGACUGACCGAUAGUGAACCAGUACCGUGAGGGAAAGGCGAAAAGAACCCCGGCGAGGGGAGUGAAAAAGAACCUGAAACCGUGUACGUACAAGCAGUGGGAGCACCCUUCGGGGUGUGACUGCGUACCUUUUGUAUAAUGGGUCAGCGACUUAUAUUCUGUAGCAAGGUUAACCGUAUAGGGGAGCCGGAGGGAAACCGAGUCUUAAUUGGGCGUUAAGUUGCAGGGUAUAGACCCGAAACCCGGUGAUCUAGCCAUGGGCAGGUUGAAGGUUGGGUAACACUAACUGGAGGACCGAACCGACUAAUGUUGAAAAAUUAGCGGAUGACCUGUGGCUGGGGGUGAAAGGCCAAUCAAACCGGGAGAUAGCUGGUUCUCCCCGAAAGCUAUUUAGGUAGCGCCUCGUGAAUUCAUCUCCGGGGGUAGAGCACUGUUUCGGCUAGGGGGCCAUCCCGGCUUACCAACCCGAUGCAAACUGCGAAUACCGGAGAAUGUUAUCACGGGAGACACACGGCGGGUGCUAACGUCCGUCGUGAAGAGGGAAACAACCCAGACCGCCAGCUAAGGUCCCAAAGUCAUGGUUAAGUGGGAAACGAUGUGGGAAGGCCCAGACAGCCAGGAUGUUGGCUUAGAAGCAGCCAUCAUUUAAAGAAAGCGUAAUAGCUCACUGGUCGAGUCGGCCUGCGCGGAAGAUGUAACGGGGCUAAACCAUGCACCGAAGCUGCGGCAGCGAACGUAUCACCCAAGACAACUUUACGGAGUUGACGAUUGACGGAGCGAAGCGACGUCAAAGCGUUCAUUAAAGUCGAGUUGGCUUAGGGAUACGUUCGUUGGGUAGGGGAGCGUUCUGUAAGCCUGUGAAGGUGUGUCGUGAGGCAUGCUGGAGGUAUCAGAAGUGCGAAUGCUGACAUAAGUAACGAUAAAGCGGGUGAAAAGCCCGCUCGCCGGAAGACCAAGGGUUCCUGUCCAACGUUAAUCGGGGCAGGGUGAGUCGACCCCUAAGGCGAGGCCGAAAGGCGUAGUCGAUGGGAAACGGGUUAAUAUUCCCGUACUUGGUGUUACUGCGAAGGGGGGACGGAGAAGGCUAUGUUGGCCGGGCGACGGUUGUCCCGGUUUAAGCGUGUAGGUGUGUGUUCCAGGUAAAUCCGGUUCACUUUAACACUGAGGCGUGACGACGAGGCACUACGGUGCUGAAGCAACAAAUGCCCUGCUUCCAGGAAAAGCCUCUAAGCAUCAGGUAACAUCAAAUCGUACCCCAAACCGACACAGGUGGUCAGGUAGAGAAUACCAAGGCGCUUGAGAGAACUCGGGUGAAGGAACUAGGCAAAAUGGUGCCGUAACUUCGGGAGAAGGCACGCUGACACGUAGGUGAAGUGAUUUACUCAUGGAGCUGAAGUCAGUCGAAGAUACCAGCUGGCUGCAACUGUUUAUUAAAAACACAGCACUGUGCAAACACGAAAGUGGACGUAUACGGUGUGACGCCUGCCCGGUGCCGGAAGGUUAAUUGAUGGGGUCAGCGCAAGCGAAGCUCCUGAUCGAAGCCCCGGUAAACGGCGGCCGUAACUAUAACGGUCCUAAGGUAGCGAAAUUCCUUGUCGGGUAAGUUCCGACCUGCACGAAUGGCGUAAUGAUGGCCAGGCUGUCUCCACCCGAGACUCAGUGAAAUUGAACUCGCUGUGAAGAUGCAGUGUACCCGCGGCAAGACGGAAAGACCCCGUGAACCUUUACUAUAGCUUGACACUGAACAUUGAGCCUUGAUGUGUAGGAUAGGUGGGAGGCUUUGAAGUGUGGACGCCAGUCUGCAUGGAGCCGACCUUGAAAUACCACCCUUUAAUGUUUGAUGUUCUAACGUGGACCCGUAAUCCGGGUUGCGGACAGUGUCUGGUGGGUAGUUUGACUGGGGCGGUCUCCUCCUAAAGAGUAACGGAGGAGCACGAAGGUUGGCUAAUCCUGGUCGGACAUCAGGAGGUUAGUGCAAUGGCAUAAGCCAGCUUGACUGCGAGCGUGACGGCGCGAGCAGGUGCGAAAGCAGGUCAUAGUGAUCCGGUGGUUCUGAAUGGAAGGGCCAUCGCUCAACGGAUAAAAGGUACUCCGGGGAUAACAGGCUGAUACCGCCCAAGAGUUCAUAUCGACGGCGGUGUUUGGCACCUCGAUGUCGGCUCAUCACAUCCUGGGGCUGAAGUAGGUCCCAAGGGUAUGGCUGUUCGCCAUUUAAAGUGGUACGCGAGCUGGGUUUAGAACGUCGUGAGACAGUUCGGUCCCUAUCUGCCGUGGGCGCUGGAGAACUGAGGGGGGCUGCUCCUAGUACGAGAGGACCGGAGUGGACGCAUCACUGGUGUUCGGGUUGUCAUGCCAAUGGCACUGCCCGGUAGCUAAAUGCGGAAGAGAUAAGUGCUGAAAGCAUCUAAGCACGAAACUUGCCCCGA